AGUUCAAUAUCAGACAACUAUCAAAAUACAUUAAAAAACACCACAUAUAUUUAAUAGAUACUUUGAUUGCUGUAAAUACAGCAUUUUGAACUACAAACUUGUCAGUUCAACAAUAUUUUCUUACAGUACACUGAAAGUAUAUAAUUCCGUAUACCUUUUGUUUCUAAUAAUGUAUGAAACAAUUCUAGUAAUAUUAUACCUUCCCAAUAUACCACGAAUUGUUUUGAAGUAGUCACAAACUGAAUUUACUUCAGAAAAAAAAACUACCAAACCUCAAAAUUCUAUUUUCACUAUAUGGUCAACUUUUCCCGUUCGAUUAGUUUUCCCGUCAUUAAUCGAUAUAUUGUUUUGAAAUAGAUGUAGUUCUGCCACUGUGACAUAUAAAUAUUCGUCUGUAAACAGUGUUGUCAAGCCGAUAUCAGGAUGUGUUCGCACUGCUUGUUCCCAGUUGUUGUGAUAAGUCUGGAACAACUUGUUAUCACCUUGUUACAAGGUUGAUGACGGUAACAGACUUGCCACAAGUUGUUCCAAGAAGACUAAUACAGGCUGUUCGCAACAAGUUGCUACGAGCUUGUUGUCAUCAACUUGUUAACAACUUGUUACGUGCAGACGAUAUCAGACUUGUUGGAACAACUUGUUGCGAGUCUGUUGGCCUCAUCAACCUUGUUACAAGAUAAUAACAACUUGUUCAAGAUUUGUCAACAACUGGAAACAAGCAGUACGAACACAUCUUGAUGACACGGCCAAAAAUCCUCACAUCUUGCAGCAAGUCUGCCAACAAGUCGUCAACAAGUUGUGUUCGCACUGCUUGCCCCAAGUUGGCAACAACCUUUUGGAUAUUAUCAGACUUGUUGCAAGGUUGUUCCAACAAGUCCGAUACAGUCCAUGACUGUAUCGGACUUGUUGGAACAACCUUGCAACAAAUCUGAUAAUAUCCAAAAGGUUGUUGCCAACUUGGGGCAAGCAGUGCGAUGUAACAACUAUAUUGUUACAACCUUGUGUCGUCAACCUUGUAACAUUCUUGUUAUAUCACGACUGUAUCAGACUUGUUUGAACAACCUUGUAACAAGUCUGAUAAUUCCAUCAAGCUAUUAUGUUACUACAACUGCAAACAAGCAGUGCGAACACAUCUUGUUGACAUGCUUAUACGUGCACAUACAAAAGGUCUAACAAAACUAACUAUAUUGAAAUGUUGCAAGUGAUUCCUGAUUUGCCUUUGAUACCAGAUCAUAUUGGACAGAAGUUAUUCACAUUUCUGACAUGAUAUUAAUAUUUGAAGAAUGGCCAUUGUACUGCGUAUUAUCGUGUCGAUUUUUGGAAAUAUCGUAGGAUGACUGUAAAAAUAAGAAAAAUAAAUAAGGAUUCUUUUUGGAGUGUCUAGGUGGGGGGGGGG